rnacentral:lncRNA from 1 species
AAACUAUCAUUAUUAACAGUUAUUUUCUGGAAUUCUUGACAAUUGGUUAUAGUUUCUUGACAGUUAUGAUACAAUGUCAAACCUAUUUCAGUUGUUCUUCUACGUGGGUUACAAAGUAAAUGUAUUGCACAUCAUCAUGUGGCCUUCGGUAGUUGUUCAUUUUACUAAUUUUUACAUAUGAAUAUCAUGUUUGCUCUUGCAAAAGGUAGAUUUAAAUAUUUUCAAUAAUUUGUGCUUUAUUUUUGUUAUGGUUGAUUGCGAUUUGAAGUUGAGGGAAAAAUUCAUAUUUAAUUUAAUAAGUGACCAUAUUCAAGUUCCUAAAAAUAAUUGAGAUUUUUAAUCAUUUCCCAUGUAAUGUUGGGUAAAAAAUUUUAGUUUGUUUGAUUUUUUGUUUAUGAUAAACCUAGAUUUGUCCCCGUAUUUUUCUCCUUUUUUAUUUGGUAUUCCUAUUCCUAUUCUUUGAACUAGAUCUAUUUAUUUAAAUUUGAAACUAGGAUUAUUUAAUAUUUAAUAGCAUAUGUGCUUUGCUAAUGAAAAAGCAAAAAUGGGUGAAAAAUAUAGUGCAUUCUUAUUUAUUGGAUUACAUUUAGGCUUGACUUCACAGCAAGAAUUAUAAGAAAAAUUAGUACGCUUUUGUUUAUUUUGGAUGUAUGGCUUUGACAAUUUUACUUGAUUUUGAAGUUUUACGAAUGAUUUCUUUCCAAAUAUGUUAUUGUUUUGGAUGUUAUCAUUAAACAAAAUUCCUGUUUUAUUAUGUUAUGAAUAUGGUUUUGAGUUUGUAUCAAAUUAGUCUCUGGAUCAGCGUAGUUGCAUUUAUUUGUAAACUUGUUCAUUUAUCUAUACAUUUUUAAAUUUUUUAUCGGGUCAUUAGUUUGAUUUUUGAUGAAUAAAAAGUUAUGCUUCUUCCGUGAUUACGUUUUCUUAAAAACUUCAUUUUUCGGUUUGCAAGUACAAUAAUUGAGAUACAUAUGUCGGAAUCUUUUUUAUCUUUUAUUGACAGUAAUAUGUUGAAUUGAUUUAUGGUCGGUUUACAUUACCUUUGUGAAAAAAAAUAAUUUUGAGUUUAAUAUAAAUGUAGGCUGAAUUUGUGAGUUGAUAUAUUUUUAAAUUUGAUGCAAUAUGAUUCAAUCUGAGGAUUCAAACAUCUUAUUCAUGUUAGCACAUGGAGAGUUCACAUGUAGUUCUUAUGGAACCCAUCUAUCAACUAAACUAUCAUUAUUAACAGUUAUUUUCUGGAAUUCUUGGCAGUUAUGAUACAAUGUCAAACCUAUUUCAGUUGUUCUUCUACGUGGGUUACAAAGUAAAUGUAUUGCACAUCAUCAUGUGGCCUUCGGUAGUUGUUCAUUUUACUAAUUUUUACAUAUGAAUAUCAUGUUUGCUCUUGCAAAAG